GCCCCCGUAGCUCAGUGGUAGAGCAGCGGACUUUUAAUCCGUGGCGCGCCGGUUCGACCCCGGCCGGGGGCA
rnacentral:tRNA from 1 species